AUUCGCAACGGUACAUCCCGAAUCCUAACACUACACCCCUCUGAACAAUGCUGGUCGAAGAAUCUCGGUAUCAACCCCAAAACCCCUUAAACCAUAGCGAUCCGGCCGCCAUUGCCUCUCCAAACACCUUAAUCUCCAACCCCAACGAUCGUGGUUUCGAAAACCUAAAGCGGAUCCGAACCAUGGAAAAAUUCAGAGAAGCUGUCUUCAAGCUCGCGGCCUCCGACCCCGCCAAGCUACUGACCCUUGAGAGAAGAGCCGAAAUCGAACAGCGCCUCCUUGAGUUUUCCUCCGUCGUUGGCGCCACCCCCUCUCACCCCACCUACGCCGCGAUGAUACAUAGGGCUAUAAUAGAGUUGAAUGAGGAGUGUGGGUCGAGUAUGAAAGCCAUUUCCGAGUUCAUAGAAGCGGAGUACGAUGAUUUGCCCUGGGCUCAUUCGCGUUUGUUGAGACAUCAUUUGGGGAAGCUUUGUGAAACUAGAGAGAUUGUUGUUACUGUUUCUCAGCGCUAUUUAAUUCCGGAACCUGAAUCUGUCCAUAACUAUAAGGAGGGAAGGGAGCUGCGGUGCCGUCGCCGCCGGCGUAGGCAGCGGUGGCAGUGGUGGAAGCGGCCGGGGAGAAAAAAGCAGACAGAGGAUGUGGUUGAAGAAGAAAAACUAGAAAGAGAUGGAAUUGAAGAGGAUAAAGAAGAGAAUUUGAAGCACGGGCAGGGUAUUUUGCUGAAGGAGGGCGUCAAUGAAAUGAAAAAUAACGGACAGGGACAAGAACUGCAACUUGUAGUGGUCGAAGAAGAAAAUCAUCAAAUGCUGAGGCAGGGUAGAAGGAGAUUGUGUGAGAAGGAUGUGGUUGAUGAAGAAAAUCAAGAAGUAGAGAAAAUUGGACUGGUUGAAUAUGACAACCAAGGGCAUACGCAGGACAGAUGGAGGUUGCAUGAUGAGGAUGUGGUUGAAGAUGGAACUAUUAAGCAUAGACUGCGGAGAUGGAGGCAGUGUAAGCACAACGCAGUUGUAGAAAAAAAUGAAGAAAAAGAAAUGCUAAUUGAAGCUGUUGAAGAAGAAAACCGAGAGUACUUGCAAACGAGGUGUGUUGGGAAGUUUGUUGUUGAAGAAGAUCAAGAAGCGAAAGAGAAAAUUGGUAUUGCCAAAGCAAGAGGGAGGACGUGUGGUUGGAAGAAGGAGAGGCAGAGGUUUCUUAAUCACAAAGAUGUGGAGGAAGAAUGUCAAGAAAAAGAAAGACAGCAGAAUGAAAUGAUUGAGUGUCAGAAUCAAACAAUAAAACAAAUUGUGAUUGAAGGAAAAUAUGCUUUGGGCAAAGAGAAUGAAGUGGUUGAAAAGAAUCAAGAAUGGCAAACAGAAAUGUUUAAUAUACAAAAUCAAGCAGAAGAGCAAGAUAAAGACGUUGGAAUAGAGAAAAAUUUAGAGCAGGACCAGCAACAUAAGGAAUUUUUUGUUGUUUGUGCUUUGUUAGCACAACAGCCUCAGCCAAUUGGUGGUUGUGUGAAGCCAAUCACAUCAUGCCAAAAAGUUGUAACAGAUUCGCUGCAAUUAGCUGCAGAUUCAAUGCAGUGUGAGCAAAAGCAAGACACAGAGCUAUCAAAACCCCGACUGCCAAAACUCCAGCUAACAGCAGCAGAGGAACUAUCUCAAGAACACCAGAAACAAGGGAAGCUUCAUGAAUGGAAAAAGAUGCCAGAAGAUACGAUAACUUCCCUUGAUGUAACUGCCUAUUCACAGCUGGUGGAGGAACAACAUUCAUUGUGUUCUAAUCAGGACAUGGGGCCUGAUCUCGAGCUGACCAUGAUUGAGAGUUUUUCUCAAAGAAAGCAACAAAAACUGGAGUAUCACCAGCAGAGGCAACCAUGUCAUCCAGGCCCAAGUACAGAAUCCAAAUCAACUACGGCAACCACCACAACAAUAGCAUUGUUGCCUUUGGAGGAAAAGCAGAUACAGCAAGAACUUCCUAACUUAGAAAGGCCUCAAAAGAUACAAUCAUCAAUAAUGGGGGAAGCAGCAGAAACUGCAACAACUUCCCUCGACACAUCCCUUCGUCCACAGAAGUUUGAGUUGGAGAAGAAACCAGAAUUUCCAGUUCCAGGAAGGCAUCUGGAGCUCAAACUUAUUGCUGUGGUGCAAUCAUAUCAAGAAGAACAGCAGCAAGAACAGGCUUGCAGUGAGCUGAUUGCACCCGAGUGCCUCUCAGCACCAGUGAAUCCCUCUUUCGGUUCACCUGCCGAUUCACAGCGGCUUGGGCAGAGACAGCAACUAGAACUUCUGAUUCCGGAAAAGCCUCUAGAGCUUGAACUGGCCGCGACAGAUCAAUUAUUACAGCUACAAGAGCAGACUUGUGAGCAUCAGCAACAUAGGCAGCAAAGAUGUCAGGGACAAAGUUCAUCUGAACCUGAAUUAGUUAGGGAAGAAGUGGAGGAAUCAUUCUUUAUGCAGCCAGAGCAGAAAGGGAAGCAGAUGCAGCAGAGGCAACUACGGCCUCGGGCUCCAAGGCCUUCUGGAUCUGAAUCACUUACACAUGCAAAGAUUGCCAAUUUUUUGCCGUUACAGCAGGAGCAGGAGCAGGAGCAGGAGCAGGAGCAGCCACAGUCACAGUGUGAAGGCUGGGGGAGACUUUCUAAAGAAAACCGAGAUGCAGACACAUUUAAAGGUGAAUUGUUGCCGUCAGAUUUCCAGCUUGUUGAUGAGAAGCAGCAGGAGCCUCCAAGUAAGAGACAGCGAGGGAGACCUCCUAAACCAAAAUCAGCUGCAGAUGAAGACAUGGGGAAGUUAUUGCCAUCAAAUCAUCCACUUCAUGAUGACCAGCAGCUCUCACCACAGCCGCGAGGUCGAGGGAGACCUCCUAAAGGCCGAGGGAGGCCUCCAAAAACAAAACCAGCAGUAGACAAAAGUAAGGGAAAGUUAUUACUCUCAGAUAAUUUGCAUAUCAAUGAGCAGCAGUGGCCACAACUGCAACAUCAAGGGAAGCCUCUUAAACAUGAGAAAGCUACGAGCACAAUUAAAGAAGCACUAUCCUCCCGGCAAGAGCAGGAGCAACUGCAGCCGAAGCGCAGAGGAAGGCCUCCUAAACCCAAACCAGUUGCAGAUACUACCAUGGAGGACUCUGCUGCCUCACAAAAUAAGCAGUAGCAAAAGAAGCAUCAAAACCAGAGGAGGGCUUGGAAUAUUGGACAUGCUGGAAUCUGAAGAAGCCAUUCGUGACCAUAGCUGGAGCUUUCUAGUGGGACAGUGAUGAAGGCAAGGGCUGUAUUUGUUGCAUAUCAAGAGGGGACAUUGUUGAAUUGCAGCCGUCUUAUAUAUGACUGAAUCCUUUUGUGCUGUCUCCUGAUUUCAUUUUUGAUUUUUUGUGGGCUCAUUGCCUUAUUUUGGUGCGGCUGCUGGGCUUUGGGCAAUGAUCCGAUGUUUUAACCUCUUCCUGGCUGUCCUCUAAUAUUGUCACGGUGGAUCAAAAUGCUGCAUGAAUUUCUGCGACUCAUGAAUGCUUUGUGAGAAACAGAUAGGGAGGUUUGUUAUUUUGAAUGUUUAUUUUUAUUUUCAUCUUUUAGGGUAGCUUUGUUGUUUUAUUGGUACAGUUUUGUUGUCAAGCUGGAUGGCUCAGGUGGGUUUCUUAUGUAAUGCCCUUGUUAUUAUUAAUCAAAAAAUUUACUAAUGUUGGAUAAUAUUGUUUGGGGUUAUUACAUUUUUGAAGGCAUUUCAAUACCAAGUAGCCAAAAUCUCUGUAUAUACAAUGAGAAAAACAUUGUAAAUUUCAAUGAAUUUCUGAAGGAGACUUACAUUCAAAA